GAAGGUAUAGCUUAGGAGCAGAGCACAUGCCUGGCAUGCAUGAGUUCCUGGGUUCAAUCCCAAGUACUUCCA
rnacentral:tRNA from 1 species